rnacentral:rRNA from 1 species
UACGUAGGGUGCGAGCGUUGUCCGGAAUUAUUGGGCGUAAAGGGCUCGUAGGCGGUUUGUCGCGUCGGGAGUGAAAACCAUGGGCUUAACUCAUGGCUUGCUUUCGAUACGGGCAGACUAGAGGUAUGCAGGGGAGAACGGAAUUCCUGGUGUAGCGGUGAAAUGCGCAGAUAUCAGGAGGAACACCGGUGGCGAAGGCGGCGUUCUGGACUGUAACUGACACUGAUGAACGAAAGCCAGGGGAGCAAACGGG